CUCUUUGUGCACCCGCCCACACGGUUUGCCGUGUUUUCACCCUUCUUUGUUCUCCACCGGUCUGGGCAGGGUCUGAGGACUCCGGAGAGCAAGGCAUGGGUCCGCCUCGUGCCGCAGGUUCCUGGCCCACGCCAGCCGUACCCAGUAGCACAAUGGGAUUUGAGGACACACGCCAGCUGCCUACACCUGAAGAAAGGGUGAGCUCUGAGGACUUCACAGGGGCCCCAUCCCCUCACCUAGAUGAGGGCUAACCUUGGAAUCCAGACAAAGGUGGAAGUGACCUAGAUGUGACCUGAAUGAGCUAAUCAUCUAAUGAGAGCCAGCCCUUUGUCCUGCCCACAUGAAGGGCUUUGCUGCUACGCACUGACAAGUUGGACGGCUUUUUAUUGCUUUGUUGCCAGUUAUCUGAACAUGAGAGGCUGUAAGGUGUAAUCUGCGAGCCCUGCGCCCAGACUGAACCAGGGCCUCCCUUGAACAUGAGUAUUAGACAAAUGAAAUAAGAACUUAUCUUGCCCAGACUAUAUAAUGGCUUGGAAAUGCAUAGUUUCCUGAACGAUCUCAAUAAAAUACUUUUAAAAGUACUUAAAUAGACUUUUUCUGUGUCACUUUGUGGGGAGGUGUGAGAAGAUAUAUGGGAAUAAGGUUUUAACCUUACCACACAGGUGUCACCACCUGACUGCCUACAUCAAAUGCCCAGGAAGGAGCUAGUCAUUUCAUGUGUCUGGUUCCUGGUCCCUUAACAGCAUCUGUUCUGGAAGUACAGAUGAAAAUUCUAUACAGACCUGUAAGGCUGACCAUAGUUUUAGCAGAUUAGCAUCUGAAUCGGUCAGAUCUACCUGCUAGGAACAAGUCGGCCUCCCCUCCCCUAAGCUCCCACUGCAGAGGGUAAAGGACAGCAUCAAGCACCCCAGCCUUCUGGAGACCCCACCAGUAGACUCCAGGUGUGCUUGCCUGGUGAAUGAACUUGGCCAGAGACUCCUGGUGCCUGCUUAGCAAGCCAUAAGCUCUCAUGGGUUAGGUGUACCUGCAACCUAGCACUUGGAGGUGGAGUCAGAAGGAUCAGAGAUCACUACUGCAUAGAGGGUUCCCAGCCACGUGAGAGCACUUGACUUGGGGGUAAGAGCACUUGACUUGGGGGUAGAAAAGUAGAUUUAAGGGGGCUCAGUGGUUGAGAACACUGACUGAUCCUGAGUUUGAAUCUCCCGUGACCACACCGAUGCCCUCUUCUGCGAUGUCUGAAGGCAGUUACCAUGUACUUACAUACAGUAAAUAAAUUUAAAAGCUCUAGUGGGCCGGAUGUGGUGGCGCAUGCCUUUAAUCCCAGCACUUGGGAGGCAGAGGCAGGCAGAUUUCUGACCAGGCCAGCCUGGUCUACAAAGUGAGUCCCAGGACUUUCUUUUUUUUUUUUUUUUUAAAGAUUUAUUUAUUUAUUACAUGUAAGUACACUGUAGCUGUCUUCAGACCUCCAGAAGAGGGAGUCAGAUCUCAUUACGGAUGGUUGUGAGCCACCAUGUGGUUGCUGGGAUUUG
rnacentral:lncRNA from 1 species